UUGAACCGAAAAUGACUAAGAAAGAGACCUUAGUAAGCAACUUCUCUUUUCUGAACUUGAUUAGUACAAUAUCUCUAUGCCAAACAAGUGCACUGAAUCAAGAGUGAAUCGACAAACACGGAAAAUCUAGUGUCAAAGCUUCUAAACUCAAACAGUAACCUCGACUGAAAAUCGAAACUCGAAUUGUCCAAAAUCGUAAGACCGGCUAGAUCUGAAUAGUUUCAGGCCAAUAUCUGGCUGAUUUUAGGUGUCGAUUGGGCUGCUUCGAAAUUGUUUUGCUGAAGAAGAUGAAUUUCAAGCUGGGGUGAGGUCUCCCGUUACCAGCGGCGCUUGAUUUUUUAUUUUUUUUGGAUUUUUUUCCCAGGCGUUCAUUUUUGUCCUCUGUUGCGUAGCUUCCCCCUUCAAUAUAUCAAGCGUUAGUUUUGUAUCU
rnacentral:lncRNA from 1 species